GUGCCAGCAGCCGCGGUAAUACGGGGGGGGCAAGCGUUGUUCGGAAUUACUGGGCGUAAAGGGCUCGUAGGCGGCCAACUAAGUCGGACGUGAAAUCCCUCGGCUCAACCGAGGAACUGCGUCCGAUACUGGAUGGCUUGAGUUCGGGAGAGGGAUGCGGAAUUCCAGGUGUAGCGGUGAAAUGCGUAGAUAUCUGGAGGAACACCGGUGGCGAAGGCGGCAUCCUGGACCGACACUGACGCUGAGUGAGCGAAAGCCAGGGGAGCAAACGGGAUUAGAUACCCGCGUAGUCC
rnacentral:rRNA from 1 species